rnacentral:rRNA from 1 species
GGGAUUACCUCAGUAACGGCGAGUGAAGCGGUAACAGCUCAAAUUUGAAAUCUGGCUCUUUCAGGGUCCGAGUUGUAAUUUGUAGAAGAUGCUUUGGGUGUGGCUCCGGUCUAAGUUCCUUGGAACAGGACGUCAUAGAGGGUGAGAAUCCCGUAUGUGACUGGCAGCUUUCGCCCGUGUAAAGCUCUUUCGACGAGUCGAGUUGUUUGGGAAUGCAGCUCAAAAUGGGUGGUAAAUUUCAUCUAAAGCUAAAUAUUGGCCAGAGACCGAUAGCGCACAAGUAGAGUGAUCGAAAGAUGAAAAGCACUUUGGAAAGAGAGUUAAACAGUACGUGAAAUUGUUGAAAGGGAAGCGCUUGCAACCAGACUCGCAUGCCGUCGAUCAUCCUGGGUUCUCCCUGGUGCACUCGGCGGCGUUCGGGCCAGCAUCGGUUUGGGUGGUGGGAUAAAGGCCUUGGGAAUGUAGCUUCUUUCGGGGAGUGUUAUAGCCCUCGGUGCAAUGCCGCCUACCUGGACCGAGGACCGCGCUUCGGCUAGGAUGC